rnacentral:lncRNA from 1 species
AGAUAAGAUGUUUAAGUUUGGUUAAGUUUGUCCUUUAAAAUAAAUAAUAAAAUAUAACAUGAAAGAAACCAUGUAUAAAUAUUGUGGACAAUAAUUAUCGUGAACAUAUAUGAUAUGGACUAAAAAAAACUUUAUAUAAGGUACAACAUAAAUUUAUCCAUCAAUUUUUAAUGGACAAUACGAAAGAUAAAAUAUCUCAUGUAGACAAUACUUUCUAAUAUUUAAUGUAACGACGCAACACCAAAGAUUAUAAUUAGACACGAUUGUGGCUUAGAAAUGACAGCGGCAACAUCGACGAGCUCCGGUGAUAACAAUAGUUUGGACGACAUUGUGAAACGAUGGCGGUGCCUCAAAUCUUAGAAUGAAAGGAGACGGAAGAAGAUGGCAAGAUCUCCAAGUACAAAGGCGGUGACGGCAGUGAUGAUGAUCUCCGACGAUGGGUAGUUCUUGGAUCUCAUCUUGAUUAUUAACCACAUAAGUGGUGAAAGAGAUAGAGAAAAGAGAGAGGAAGAAGAAAAAAUGAGAGAACAUAAGAGAGAGAAAUAGAAAAUAAAAGGAAGGAGAUAAUUUGUUUGUUUUUGUCU